rnacentral:tRNA from 1 species
GGGCCUUUAGCUCAUUUGGGAGAGCGCCUGCCCUGCAAGCAGGAGGUAGCCGGUUCGAAGCCGGCAAGGUCCACCA